rnacentral:lncRNA from 1 species
UUUUUUUUUUUUUUUUUUUUUUUUUUUUGGUUUUUCGAGACAGGGUUUCUCUGUGUAGCCCUGGCUGUCCUGGAACUCACUUUGUAGACCAGGCUGGCCUCAAACUCAGAAAUCUGCCUGCCUCUGCCUCCCAAGUGCUGGGAUUACAGGUGUGCGCCACCACGCCCAGCAUCUGUGUGCACUCUUAACUAAGCCUUUUCUCCAGCACCUUACUUCUUAAUAAAAUUUCCUCAUUUUUAAGAGUCCAUAUUACUUUCUCCUAGAAAUACAACCAGAAAGAAAAAGUCUGUUUAUUUUCUACUAAAGACAUGUGUGAUUUGAUCUGUAUGAGAUACAGAACUGUUUGGUUAUGCGUUUGAUAUUUUAGGCAUUUUUUUAAUCCCCCUAAAAUCCUCAGUGGUGAUAGAGAAUCCUGUAAGAACAGCUAAUGUUGGAGGAUUUCGGACUGAUUCGGUCAUUUUAUAGCUUAGGACACUGCAUUUUCCUCCGAACCCCUUUACAUGUAUCAAACAGAAGGCUCCUCAUGUCUGGCUUAAGUUGUUCCACUAAAUGGUGGUUUAACUGGCAGCCUGCUCUCCACACAGGCUGAUUCUCUGGUUGGCUGGGCUGUUUUUUUUUCAGGUGAUGUCAUUUUUCUUAAUGUAAGUGGCAUUGUCAUUUAGGGUUCGUGCUUACUCACGUUAUAGUGGCCUAGGAUCUAAAGACCUCAUUACCAGGCGGAAUUUUAGGAUUUUGAAUUAUAGGAAAUGUCUUCUUUCUGUUGGGGUAUGGGGCGGGGCUUGCUUUCUGUGUUGGCUGGCCUGUUGGCUAUGUGCCUGUGUGUGAGAGAGUAUGUGAGUAUGUGUGUGUAGUGUGUGUGUGUGAGUGUGUGUGGUAUGAGUUUGUAGUGUGUGUGUGAAUGUGUAUAUGCAUAUAUGUAGCAUGAGUGCAUUUGUGUAUGUAGUGUGAGUGUUUAUGUUUGUAGUGUAUGUGUGGCUGCACAUGCACACACAUGAGUGAGUAUGUAGUAUGAGUGUGUUUGACUCCUAGGUAACUGGAUACUAUUGUAGGCUCUAGGCUACCAAUCUGUGACCACAGAUGUAACAGUAGCCAUAUUCAGAAAGCUAUGACAUUCCCUUUAAGGAGAAACAAAGAUUAAUGAUUUCUAAGGCUGAGAGUAUUCAAAGCAUGAACUAACUAUUCCAGGGUGAUUCUCAUCCUAGAAAUGUAUAUAUUCAAUCUAUAGCCCAGGCUGGCCUCAAACUCAUGGUCAACCCUUCAGCCUCAGCUUUCAAAUGCUGGGAUUGUGUGUGAGCCCAGUUGUCAGGAAUAUUUCAAGGCUAGUGUUCCAGGUGCUAAUCUGGACAACUUUCUGCAAGCAGAAUCUAUCUCCUUCCAGCCCUGGGUCUCAGUGUACCCAUUUCCUGGGGUUAAGAUAGGACCUAUCUGGAGCCUUGGGCUAGUCCAAGGGAAGAGUCUUCUGGGAGUGGCUUGGGUCUAUGCAUCAGCAUGGUUCUCUCCAUAACUACCUCUGGAUAUUUGGGGUAUCAAACAAAAGUAUUCAAGAAUUUUCUCAGAAUUAAGACAGGCGCUCUAGGGGACCUGACUUCACGACGUAGACCAGGAUAAUCUAAACCCCACCCAAGUGCUGGGGUGAAAGGUAUAUGCUACCACAUCUCUGGUGUUUAACAUUCCCUACCCAUUCUCCAGGCUCUUAGCAAAUUCUACUACGGGCUCUGCUGUCAGAGUAUAUCACCUGUGGUGACUCUUCUCCGUCACCAUGGUCACCACGCCAGUCCCAGCCACCAUCAUACCAUGUCUGCAUUACUACAGGAGCAGCCUAAGAUGUACUGUUUGUCCAUUCAGCAGCCCUAAGCUCUGUCCACACACGUCACUCUCUGUGCAGUGUCCUCCACUGUCCUUUACUACGCUAUCUUCUCAGUGGCUCUGGGCCCUUGCCCCCAGUUCUUCCAGUUGUGCCCUCUACCACGGUCACAUUGGCCUUUUCCCCCUAUUCUGGGAACAUGGCAAAUCCCAUCCUGCUUUGCACUUUCCUUCCCUUUGAGUGAACUAACUGUCCAGGCUUCCAUUUUCAACUCAACUGUACCCACUAAGGAUCCCUUCUCUCUCAGCUUUCCGUAACCCAUACCUGCCUCCCGCCAGCUCCUGGGUGAGAAAUGGACUUGCUUUUGUUUUCUAGCAAUCCUUCUCGAAUGGCAUACUCCUUAAAAAGACGGGACCUUUGUUCACGCACCAACGGUUUCCCAGCUCCCAGAACUGUGUCUAUUAGAUAAUGCGUGCUUAGUAAGUGCUUGUUGAAUUACCCACGGGCUGAACCGUAACUGAGGCGGCGGUCCUACAUAAUGUGCUGCCCUGCCUUUGGUUGUGUCGCAGCAUCAUCACCAUCUCUGCCAGAGUCUGCGGAUGUUUCCUGUGCCAAGGACUUUGGUUGAUAACACCUGCCCGUCCACACUUCGUUUAGCCUGGAAAGUCCUAGCGGUGAAAGUCCUAGCAGUGAAAAUGACUUUGUUCAGACACCUGGAUUCUGAUCCUUUCAGGCCCUAAAGAAGUUGAAAUUUUUAGCAGAGGCUAUCUGAGUCUUAAACAUUUUUGGUCUUUAACUUCCAUGCUCAGCAAUUCUGCUAUAAGCGGGCACCAUUCCCAGACGAAGUGAAUACCCCUGGAACUGUAGAAUCAAGCAUUACAUUUUUGUUGGCGAUUCUUUUCCCAUAGCCCACAUAUUUCUUUCGGUCCUAACUUUGCCAUGUACCGAGACCCUGACUUCGGAGAAUCCUUCCUCUGCCUGUGUUCAUGUGUCACCGCAACUGUAGGGCGAUGUCUCCAAACAAAGAAGC